rnacentral:rRNA from 1 species
GACGAACGCUGGCGGCGUGCUUAACACAUGCAAGUCGAGCGGAAAGGCCCUGCUUUUGUGGGGUGCUCGAGUGGCGAACUGGUGAGUAACACGUGAUUAACCUGCCCUUUACUUUGGGAUAACUUCAUGAAACUGGGGCUAAUACCGGAUAGGAGCUCCUGCUGCAUGGUGGGGGUUGGAAAUUUUCGGCGGUUGGGGAUGGACUCGCGGCUUAUCAGCUUGUUGGUGGGGUAGUGGCUUACCAAGGCUUUGACGGGUAGCCGGCCUGAGAGGGUGACCGGCCACAUUGGGACUGAGAUACGGCCUAGACUCCUACGGGAGGCAGCAGUGGGGAAUAUUGCACAAUGGGCGGAAGCCUGAUGCAGCAACGCCGCGUGCGGGAUGACGGCCUUCGGGUUGUAAACCGAUUUCGCCUGUGACGAAGCGUGAGUGACGGUAAUGGGUAAAGAAGCACCGGCUAACUACGUG